rnacentral:rRNA from 1 species
UGCCAGCAGCCGCGGUAAUACCGGCGCCUCAAGUGGUAGUCGCUUUUAUUGGGCCUAAAACGUCCGUAGCCGGUUUGGUACAUUCGUGGGUAAAUCAACUCGCUCAACGAGUUGAAUUCUGCGAGGACGGCCAAACUUGGGACCGGGAGAGGUGUGGGGUACUCUCAGGGUAGGGGUAAAAUCCUGUCAUCCUGAGAGGACCACCUGUUGCGAAGGCGCCACACUAGAACGGAUCCGACGGUCAGGGACGAAGCCUAGGGGCACGAACCGGAUUAGAUACCCGGGUAGUCCUAGGUGUAAACGCUGUGGACUUGAUGUUGGAGAAGCUCCGAGCUUCUUCAGUGUCGAAGCGAAGGUGAUAAGUCCACUGCCUGGGAAGUACGGUCGCAAGGCUGAAACUUAAAGGAAUUGGCGGGGGAGCACCGCAACCUGAGGAUUGUGCGGUUUAAUUGGAUUCAACGCCGGAAAACUCACCAUAGCCGACGGACAUAUGAAGGUCCGUGUAACGAACUUACCGGAUUGUUCGAGAGGUAGUGCAUGGCCGCCGUCAGUUCGUACCGUAAGGCGUUCUGUUAAGUCAGAUAACGAACGAGACCCUCAUCUCUAUUUGCUAGCUGGAUCUCCGGAUUCGGUGCACUAUAGAGAGACCGCUGGCGCGAAGUCAGAGGAAGGCGAGGGCAACGGUAGGUCAGUAUGAUCCGAAUGUCAUGGGCUACACGCGCAAUACAAAGGACGGGACAAUGGGCUGCUACUCCGAGAGGAAGAAGCUAUCCCGAAACCCGUUCGUAGUUCGGAUUGGGGGCUGUAACCCGCCCCCAUGAAGCUGGAUUAGGUAGUAAUCGCGACUCAACAAGGCGCGGUGAAUAUGCCCCUGCUCCUUGCACUCACCGCCCGUC